AUGUGAGAUGCAGUGUAUGGAACAUCAAUAUUCUAGUAUGAGAAAUUAACGAUUUAAGUCCUUCUUAAAUGAGGCCAUUUACCCAUAGAGGGUGCCAGGCCCGUAUAACGUUAAUGAUUACUAGAUGGUGUUUCCAAAGAGUCGUGUUGCUUGAUAGUGCAGCACUAAGUGGGUGGUAAACUCCAUCUAAAACUAAAUAUAACCAUGAGACCGAUAGUAAACAAGUACCGUGAGGGAAAGUUGAAAAGAACUCUGAAUAGAGAGUUAAAUAGUACGUGAAACUGCUUAGAGGUUAAGCCCGAUGAACCUGAAUAUCCGUUAUGGAAAAUUCAUCAUUAGAAUUGUAAUGUUUAAAUAAUAUUAUAAUAAUAGUGUGCAUUUUUUCCAUAUAAGGACAUUGUAAUCUAUUAACAUACUAAUUUAUCAAAAAGUUGUGAAUUAUUGCUUAUUUCAAUUAUGGUGCUUGCAUUAUAACAUAAAAUAAAUUGUCAUGAAUUUGAUAAAGUGUUGAUAGAUUUAUAUGAAUACUGUGCGUUAAUUUUUCGGAAUUAUAUAAUGGCAUAAUUAUCAUUGAUUUUUGUGUUUAUUAUAUGCACAUGUAUGAUAAC
rnacentral:rRNA from 1 species